GACGAACGCUGGCGGUGUGCUUAACACAUGCAAGUCGAACGGUAAGGCCCUUUCGGGGGUACACGAGUGGCGAACGGGUGAGUAACACGUGAGUAACCUGCACUCAUCUCUGGGAUAACAGUCGGAAACGGUUGCUAAUACUGGAUAUGAGCUUGCAAGGCAUCUUGUGGGUUGGAAAGAUUUUUUUUUGGUUGGGGUUGGACUCGCGGCCUAUCAGCUUGUUGGUGAGGUAGUGGCUCACCAAGGCUUCGACGGGGAACCGGCCUUAGAGGGCGACCGGACACAUUGGGACUGAGAUACGGCCCAAACUCCUACGGGAGGCAGCAGUGGGGAAUAUUGCACAAUGGACGGAAGUCUGAGGCAGCAACGCCGCGUGCGGGAUGACGGCCUUCGGGUUGUAAACCGCUUUCAAUUGUGACGAAGCUUUUUUGUGACGGUAGCAGUAGAAGAAGCACCGGCUAACUACGUG
rnacentral:rRNA from 1 species